ACAGAGCAUGGAUUUAGUUGGUAAAGUCUUGAAGUUGAUUUGAAUUUGAUUAUAUUGUCUUAAUCAUGAAAAUAUGAUAUAUUUGAUUUAGGGGUAGUAUAUUAAUAAUAUUGAUUCCUAAUCUCCCCAAGAAAUUGGGACAGACCUUUGCUUUAAUUUUUUUUUAAAGGCAGCAAUCCUGUAGUGAACUCCUGCAUGUACAAGAAAAUUGCUAGGGCUAUAACUUCUGCCUGGUGUCAUUACCCUCAUUAACAUCAGAGUCUUGAUAAUAAAAACCCCAGGGCUAGGACUUCUGGCCCAAUGUUGGGAAAUAAAUUCAGCAGCCCUGAAUUUAGUGACCCAGAGAGUCCACCCAUUCAAAGGUGACUCAUUAUAUUCAGUGAAAUUCCUGAACCAAAGGGAAAGCCUCUGUCCCACUGGAAACAGGCCCCCUCUCAUGACUGUUGCUUGUUAGAACUGAACUGAACUUCUCAGAGAAUUCCACAGCCCUCUGCUAAAGAGAGGCAUGUGUUGUGGGAGCUACUGCUUUAGGUACCCAUCCAUCUGAGUGCUGCCUUUCGUCUCAGCAGAGAAGCUUGCUACCUACUACUUCUGUUGGAUACACUCACAUAUUUUACUCUACAAUUAAAAUGUUGAAAGAUAAUGUGCUGAUAUCUCCAUACAAAAGAAUGAAGUUGGACUGUUACCUAAGAAGAUUUACAAAAAGUAACUCAAAAUGGAUCAAAGACCAAAAGAUAUUUAUUCAGCACCAACUGCAUGCCAGGCAAUGUAUUAGGCAUUAGAAAUGAGGAGCAGUAAAGAUCUUGUUAAGAACUCAUCUGAUAAUCAUCUGGAAUCU
rnacentral:lncRNA from 1 species